rnacentral:rRNA from 1 species
UACGUAGGGUCCGAGCGUUUGUCCGGAAUUAUUGGGCGUAAAGGGCGCGUAGGCGGCCUGGCAAGUGGAAGGUGAAAUCCCUCGGCUUAACCGAGGAACUGCCCUCCAAACUGCUUGGCUUGAGACCGGGAGAGGUGAGUGGAAUUCCCAGUGUAGCGGUGAAAUGCGUAGAUAUUGGGAGGAACACCAGUGGCGAAGGCGGCUCACUGGACCGGUACUGACGCUGAGGCGCGAAAGCGUGGGGAGCAAACGGGG